CACGGGGGGGAGCAAGCGUUGUUCGGAAUCACUGGGCGUAAAGGGCGUGUAGGCGGUCAGGUAAGUGAGACGUGAAAUGCCCCGGCUUACCCGGGGACCUGCGUCUCAUACUGCUUGGCUUGAGUACGGGAGAGGGUGUGGGAAUUCCUGGUGUAGCGGUGAAAUGCGUAGAUAUCAGGAGGAACACCGGUGGCGAAGGCGCACACCUGGCCCGAUACUGACGCUGAGGCGCGAAAGCUAGGGGAGCAAACGGG
rnacentral:rRNA from 1 species